rnacentral:rRNA from 1 species
AACUAUUCGCUAAAGGGUGUUCGGGAGGCUACGCCGUAAAACAACCCCAUUUCUAAGGUUGACCUCGGAUCAGGUAGGGAUACC